UACGGGGGGGGCAAGCGUUGUUCGGAAUUACUGGGCGUAAAGGGCGCGUAGGCGGUCUGUUAAGUCGGAUGUGAAAACUCUGGGCUCAACCCAGAGCCUGCAUCCGAAACUGGCAGGCUAGAGUUCUGGAGGGGGUAGCGGAAUUCCUGGUGUAGCGGUGAAAUGCGUAGAUAUCAGGAGGAACACCGGUGGCGAAGGCGGCUACCUGGACAGAAACUGACGCUGAGGCGCGAAAGCUAGGGGAGCAAACAGG
rnacentral:rRNA from 1 species